rnacentral:lncRNA from 1 species
GGCACCUCGCGUUCGGAGGGGGAAAAAAUGAGGAGGGUGGGAGUGGGAGGAGGCACAGCCUGCCCUCCCCCUCCUCGCCCACCCAGGUCCACACCCACUGCCGCAGUGAGGGGCGAGCCCUACGCGCCAGCCCCGCGCCUCCGGCAGAGAGCGCACACGCCGGGCGCCAGGCUCAGAGCACAGAGAAAGGAACCCGCCCCGAAAUGCACCUGCAGACCCCGCGCCCGUCUGUGCAGGGCUGCGGCUGUGCGCGCCCGUGAACAGGGAGCCGUGGCCGCCGAGUCUCCUGAACAUCGCAAGGCCAGAUGGGCUUGUUGCUGAAGCGAGUCAGAUUGGCAGCAUCCAGGGUUUCCGGUGCCUUAGAAGUGUGUGACUGAUGGGCCAUGAGCAGGUGAGGUCCAGGCACCUGUGGCUGAAGGCAGCCUCUGGGCGGUGGAG